rnacentral:rRNA from 1 species
UAAUACGGGGGGAGCAAGCGUUGUUCGGAUUUACUGGGCGUAAAGGGCGCGUAGGCGGCCACCGCAAGUCGACUGUGAAAUCUCUGGGCUUAACCCAGAACGGUCAGCCGAUACUGCGGGGCUAGAGUGCAGAAGGGGCAACUGGAAUUCUCGGUGUAGCGGUGAAAUGCGUAGAUAUCGAGAGGAACACCUGCGGCGAAGGCGGGUUGCUGGGCUGACACUGACGCUGAGGCGCGAAAGCUAGGGGAGCGAACGGG